AUUGCACGCAGGCGGCAGGCCUAACCCCUGCAAGUCGAACGAGUGGCGGACGGGUCAGUAAUGUCUGGGAAUCUGCCUGAUGGAGGGGGAUAACUACUGGAAACGGUAGCUAAUACCGCAUACCAUCAGAUGUGCCCAGAUGGGAUUAGAUUGUUUGUGGGGUAACGGCUCACCAAGGCGACGAUCCCUAGCUGGGCUGAGAGGAUGACCAACAACACUGGGACUUAGACACUGUCCAGACUCCUACGGGAGUCAGCAGUGGGGAAUAUUGCACAAUGGGCUCAAGCCUGAUGCAGCCAUGCCGCGUGUAUGAAGAAGGCCUUCGGGUUGUAAAGUACUUUCAGCGGGGAGGCGUUACCCGCAGAAGAAACACCGGCUAACUCCGUGCCAGCAGCCGCGGUAAUUC
rnacentral:rRNA from 1 species